ACUCCUACGGGAGGCAGCAGUGGGGAAUUUUGGACAAUGGGCGCAAGCCUGAUCCAGCAAUACCGCGUGCAGGAAGAAGGCCUUCGGGUUGUAAACUGCUUUUGUACGGAACGAAAAAGGUCUUGGUUAAUACCUGGGGCUCAUGACGGUACCGUAAGAAUAAGCACCGGCUAACUACGUGCCAGCAGCCGCGGUAAUACGUAGGGUGCGAGCGUUAAUCGGAAUUACUGGGCGUAAAGCGUGCGCAGGCGGUUAUGUAAGACAGGUGUGAAAUCCCCGAGCUCAACUUGGGGAAUUGCACUUGUGACUGCAUAACUAGAGUGCGGCAGAGGGGGAUGGAAUUCCGCGUGUAGCAGUGAAAUGCGUAGAUAUGCGGAGGAACACCGAUGGCGAAGGCAAUCCCCUGGGCCUGCACUGACGCUCAUGCACGAAAGCGUGGGGAGCAAACAGGAUUAGAUACCCUGGUAGGUCAGU
rnacentral:rRNA from 1 species